rnacentral:tRNA from 3 species
GCCCCUGUGGUGGAAUUGGUAGACGCAGCGGACUCAAAAUCCGCCGCCGCGAGGCUUGUCGGUUCGAGUCCGACCGGGGGCACCA